GGGGUUUGACAUGCUGGCAGUAGUCGCCCGAAAGGGUCGGCGACCCGUAGAGUCGGGUACCAGCACAGGUGCUGCAUGGCUGUCGUCAGCUCGUGCCGUGAGGUGUUGGGUUAAGUCCCGCAACGAGCGCAACCCUUGUUCCUUGUUGCCAGCGGAUCAUGCCGGGCACUCGAGGAAGACUGCCGGCGAGAAGCCGGAGGAAGGUGGGGAUGACGUGUCCUUGAUAGG
rnacentral:misc_RNA from 1 species